UACGUAGGGUGCGAGCGUUGUCCGGAAUUAUUGGGCGUAAAGGGCUCGUAGGCGGUUUGUCGCGUCGGGAGUGAAAACCCAGGGCUUAACUCUGGGCUGGCUUUCGAUACGGGCAGACUAGAGGCAUGCAGGGGAGAACGGAAUUCCUGGUGUAGCGGUGAAAUGCGUAGAUAUUGGGAGGAACACCAGUGGCGAAGGCGGCUACCUGGACCGGAACUGACGCUGAUGCGCGAAAGCGUGGGGAGCGAACAGG
rnacentral:rRNA from 1 species